GGUAAACACUAUUUGCAGAGGAAUGAUAGAACAACAGUUCUUCAUAUUUCCAUCUUCACCGAGUGUUUUGAAUUGGCCCAUUUUAUUGCGGAGAGCUACUCAUAUUUAAUUGAAGAAAGAGAUCAAGAUUCAAUGACUGCUCUUCAAUAUCUUGCAUGCAAUCCAACUGCAUUUGAAAAGAAGAAAAUAAAAACAAGACGAGGAUUCAUGGACGAACUCAUGAUCUCAACAGUACCGACACAAGGCCUCAUGGAGAUACUCAUUAACUCAAGUAUAGUACAUUUAACUCCUUCCUCAUCAAUAUCUAUUCUUCAUUUACUCAAUUACUCUUGUUUUUUUUUUUUUUUUUUUGGAUAAUAACAUUUUUUAGAAAUUGGGUAUGGGCAUUAACAUAAUUUUGGAAUGCUAAAUAUAGUUUUAUA